AAUCCGCGUUUGAGUGGUUGGCCACCCUGCUUUGUGAUCUGUGAUGUGAUCCUGUUUUUGUUUUAAGGUUAGGACACAAAUGGCUUAGUUGUGAGGGUAGAUACUUGUCUCUGGUGAGGGCAUUCAUGGCAUUCAAUUCAAAUCUAUUUAGAAAUCAGGCUUCAAAUAAUGGUUAUUAGUUGCGUUGCCUUUGGUUGUAGCGCUACGCAAAAUCCAUUUAAACCAAUUUCCUUUCAUAGGUUUCCCUUCAGUCGGCCCGAGGUUCUUAAGCAUUGGAUUGAGGCUGUUGGUAGAGAAAACUGGUAUCCCUCAAAGUCGAGUAGGCUUUGUGGAGACCACUUUCUUCAAACCGAUUAUUAUCAGAUUCUAGAUGAAAGUACACACAAACGAUUAAAGCCUGGUGCGGUACCAAGUGUUUUUCCUGAUCGAUAACAUUUGGGAAAUAAAUAUUGUACAGUGUGGAACAUUGCACACAGUUGAAAAAUACAGAAUAAAGAUGAGUAGGUAGGAACAUUAAAAAUCAGUACACAUUAAAUAUUUUUAGUGGAGAUUUUAUUUUUAUUGCUUUGUAAAACAAAGGACACAUUUUGAAAAUGUUUUAAUGCAGGUGAUUAAAUAAAUGCCAUUUAGCCAAAAAAAAA
rnacentral:lncRNA from 1 species